AGUGAACGCUGGCGGCGUGCCUAAUACAUGAAAGUCGAACGCAGUGGGGACGGGUGAGUAACACGUGGGUAACCGCCCAGCAGAGGGGAUAACACUUGGAAACAGGUGCUAAACCGAUACUGAUGGAUGGACACGCGGUGCAUUAGCUAGUUGGGGAGGUAACGGCUCACCAAGGCAACGAUGCCUAGCCGACCUGCUAGGGUGACCUGCUCCACUGUGACUGAGACCCGGCCCACACUCCUACGGGAGGCAGCAGUAGGGAAUCUUCGGCAAUGUACGAAAGUCUGACCGAGCAACGCCGCGUGAGUGAAGAAGGUUUUCGGAUCGUAAAACUCUGUUGUUAGAGAAGCGGUAUCUAACCAGAAAGCCACGGCUAACUACGUGCCAGCAGCCGCGGUAAUAC
rnacentral:rRNA from 1 species